ACUCUGUUUUCGUUGCUUGUUAUAUUUUAGUGAUAAUAAUGUACGAUUUGAAAUUGGUAUUGAUUUUUUUGUUUUGUAGUUUAAAGAAAUUGUAGUUUUGGUUGGAUUUGUUUUUCCACCCGUUACAGUUGAUCAUAAAUCUAAUGUUCGCUGACUUUUGGUAUCAUGAUUUGUGGUCAACCGAUAUUGUAGAGAUGAAAAAUACCUGAAACUGACGCAUUAA
rnacentral:misc_RNA from 1 species